rnacentral:tRNA from 1 species
CAAAUUAAAAUUUUUUUAUAUUUUAUUUACAAUAAAAUUGAAGUUGUAAAUUCAACUUAAUUUGA